CACGUAGGGCGCGAGCGUUGUCCGGAAUUAUUGGGCGUAAGGAGCUCGUAGGCGGUUUGUCACGUCGGGUGUGAAAGCCCGGGGCUUAACCCCGGGUCUGCAUUCGAUACGGGCUAGCUAGAGUGUGGUAGGGGAGAUCGGAAUUCCUGGUGUAGCGGUGAAAUGCGUAGAUAUCUGGAGGAACACCGGUGGCGAAGGCGGCAUCCUGGACCGGCAUUGACGCUGAGGCGCGAAAGCCAGGGGAGCAAAGCGGG
rnacentral:rRNA from 1 species